UCGGCUGCUUCUUGGAGAGUUCUGAGGUGGUGGAGGUGCCUAACUUCAGCCCCUUUCGGAUGGCCUCCAUCUUCAUCCAAAAGGAUAUGGAAGUGCUGUGCCUUAGGUAUCUAAUUCCUUCAGAAUUUAAACUAGAGUUAGUCGGUCCCGAGGAUUGGAUUGCCUUAUCUUUCGGAGGCUGGAUUGAACUAUAUGAAGAGUCUUUGAAGACCGACCUUAGAUUGCCCC
rnacentral:lncRNA from 1 species